UCUCCCUGUUGUCCUUACCCUUUUCCUUUUGUUCUAAGAGCCCAGCACUACUCUAGCUUCUAGGGGUUAUCAGCCCACACCCCUCCAGCUAUUCCAGGUCACACAACAUCUUUCAGUCCCGACCACCACCAGGCGACACAUUAACACCUGCAUUUCCAAAGAACUCCAAUAGACUUUUUAUGACUUUUCACAAAAUUCUUAGUCCCCUGCUUUGUUACUAGAACAUGAAAAUUCUUCCUGAAAUCAAACCCACCUUUUGAGGGGCAGUAGAAUUUUGCUAUGAGGAAGAAAGCACACAUUCAACACAGAGAAUGAAAGUUGGGACAGGAUCACAUGCCCAGAGCAUAGCAGACGGCAAGCUCUCAGGAUGGUCAGAGUGGGAAGAGCUGGAUAUUAGCUUAAACUAUGGAAAACUUUUCAUGAAGAGGAAAAACCUGAGAGAACUUGAAAGGUUUUCCUGUUAGUGAAAAGAUCUUCAACAUCAACCCAAUAUUUAUUGUUGCUGUUUUACAAAGGAGACCGAAAGUUUCUGGGACUUAGUGCCACGGUCCCGAAACUGCAGCCACCUGGGGCACUGAAGAAUAUUUCACAUUUUUGAGAGAAACACAGCGAUGCUUGGCAUCUGUGGGACGCUAUGCAAACUACCCAGUAGUUCAUUGUUUUGGCAAGAGAUUACAUUUCUAUCAGUGAUGUCAUCUCUUUCAGCAUGAUAAAAAGUACCCAUGAAUCAAUGGGGAAUAUGAAAUUAGGGUUGAGAUGUCCAAUCUGUUUCCAAGCUUGAGAAAUUGUACACUGUCCAGGAUACACACAUCCCACCAGUAAGUUAACUGUGGUGAGAAUGAAAUUAGGGAGUCUCUGAGCCUACUCUGGCUUGGGAGGCUGCCCUUGAAAAAAAAAAAAAGAAUGAAAUAAAAGUGUAACUUUUCUUUCAAUUUAUAUGUAUAAUUUUUUUCAAGUGGCUACGAAGUUGUUGGACAUAAAUCCUUAUUAAGUUAUUUGGACCUGAGUACUUAAUAAAAGGAAUUGUUCGGCAUUUCUUUUGGCCUGGGGGCAUUGGAAAAAAUUACUGAGACAGUAAGAGCUGCCUGUGAACAGAGAAAGCGAAAAACAAUUAUUAUGAGUUUGGGAAAAACCUUGCUUUACUCAGCAAGAUUGCAGCGCAAAGAAGAACUGUCAGAACAUCCAAGGAGACCAAGCGCCACAGGCUAAAUAAAGUGAAGUGAAAAUCUGUGCACACACAUCAUAGUAAGAAGAGACAGGUGAUAAAGAAGUUGGCAUUCAAAAUGAGGAUAAAGAUGUUGAAGAAGACUCUGUGUUGGAAAGAAACUGUGUAAGCUGCAGUCCUGUUUUCCAAAUGAGCUCGCGGAUUUUGGCCAACUCCAGUCUAAUUACCUAUGAUUAAAAAAACCAGCUAAUUACGAGAACUAACUAGCAGAUCUGAGAAUAAUAAAACUGAAGAGAGUAUGUUGCAUAUAGUUAUAACAGCUAAUAAAUUUUUGUGGGUUUUUUUGUUUGUUUUGAGAUGGGAGUCUUGCUCCAUUUAUUGCCCAGGCUGGUCUCGAACUCCUGGGCUCAAGGGAUCUUCCCAGGUAGCUGGGAUUACAGACACACACAACUGUGCCCCACUUCUGAUAAAAAUUUAAAUGGCUGUUAAUUAAUCUCUCCUUCAGUUUGCUCCUUGGGAUUCUGCAGUGCACAUGCAUACACACACACACACAUGCACACACACACACACAUUUUUGGGGGCCUCUGAUUUUAAUCAAUAUUUCUUUAAAGUAUUUUAAAAAUGAUGGGGGUAUGUCAAAAGGACCUAGGAACCAGUUUGAAGGGGCUCCUACUGGCCAAAACUGGGACAAUCUGAGCAUCAAAAUAAAUAAGAAUAUUAAUGGAUUAUUUACCCUUUGAAUAAAAUAAAAGUCCUUUAGUACAAUAAUUGUGUGGUGGAUGCAGGGGAGGAAUUGAGGAUUCUUAUAGCUGAAUGAAGUGUGCAGACUGACAAAUUUGGAGGUAGUGGUAGCACGGGAUAUCACCAUUUUCCAAACAUCAUAGUAAAGAUUGAUUCAGUCAAGAAUCAUCAAUGGAUGUUAAGUCUAAGGGGGGACAGUUAAACGAGGAGCAGGAUCAUUGCAUGGCCUCAAAGUAUUUCUCCACAGAUUGCUUAAACUGCACAGUGGAGAAAACGGACAAUGCCAUGAUCCGGUCAUCAAAAUUAGCAUCACCAAUGUAGGACAUUCGGUCAUCACAUGCCUUCUAUUGUGAUGCCCUGUAAAAGACACAACACACACAGUGCUCCAGGCAGGGAAGCAGAACCUAACUUUAAUCAUGGAGCAGCAUUAUACAAACCCCAAGUAAAGGUCAUCCUAGUAAAUAAAUGGCCUGUAUUAUUCAAAACUGUUAAGGUCACGAAAGCAAAGAAAAGCUGAGGAACUGUUCCAUAUGCAAGGAGGUGAAAGAAACACAACUCAGUGCAAUGUGUAAUCCCAGACUGGUUCCUAUUCUGGAGGAGAAAAUGCUUUAAAGGGUGCUAUUGGGACAACUAAUGAAAUUGGAACAUGAGCUGCAGAUUAGAUGAGUGUGUUUUAUCAGUGCUAAAUUUCCUGAAGUUGGCAACCAUAGUUAGGUAAGAAAUAUCCUUGUUUCAGGAAGUACAUACUGAACUAUUAAGGGAUGAGAGACAAUCCACUCUCAAAUAGAUUCUGAAAAUAAAUAAUAGUAUGCAUACAUAUUAUUAUAUAUGUAAACAUAUACACACAUGCAUGUGUAUAUAUGAAGAUAAUAUUAAAAAAUAGAAACAAAUAUUAAAAUUUGGCGUAUCUGAGUAAAAGGUAUAUGGAAUUCUUCUGUAUCAUUUUAUAACUUUUCUAAAAAUUUGAAACUCAGACCAAGCAUGGUGACUCACACCUAUAAUCCUAACAUUUUGGGAGGCCGAGACCAGAGGAUCGUUUGAGCCAAGGAGUUUGAGGCCAGACUGGGCAACAAUAGGGAAACUCUGUCUCUACAAAAAAAAAAAAAAACAAAUUAGGCCGGGGGAGGUGGCUCAGGCCUGUAAUCCCAGAACUUUGGGAGACCAAGGCAGGUGGGUCACAUGAGGUCAGGAGUUCAAGACCAACCUGGCCAACAUGGUGAAACCCCAUCUCUACUAAAAAUACAAAAAUUAGGCAGGUAUGGUGGCGUGGCACCUGUAAUCUCAGCUACUCAUGAGGCUGAGGCAAAAGAAUCGCUUGAACCCAGGAGGCAGAGGUUGCAGUGAGCUGAGAUCACGCCACUGCAUUCCAGCCUGGGGAACAGAGACUCUGUCUUAAAAAAAAAAAUUAAAAAAUUAGACAGGUGUGGUGGUACACACUUGUGGUCCUAGCUACUUGACUUGAAUGGCUAAGGCAGGAGAAUCGCUUGAGCCUGGGAGGGAGAAGCUACAGUGAGCUGUGAUCAUGCCAUGCACUCCAGCCUGUGUAACACAGUGAGACCCUGUCAAAAAAAAAAAAAAAUACCCUCAGAUUUGUUUUUAAAAUAAAAAAAAUAAAUAAAUAAUGUUUGGCGGUCUUCUUGAGCCAAGACAAUUUCAGUUAGAAUCAUACUAUAGCUAAGAGCUGGAAGAGAAUUUAGCAUUUAUUUCGCCUGACCACAAAUUUUACGCUAAUGCUCCGGAGACACUAAUAAGUAACUUGCUUGAGAUUACCGUAUCAGUCUUCUCGGGCUGCCAUAACAAAAUACCGUAGACUGGGUGACUUAAACAACAGAAAUUUAUUUUUUCACAUUUUGGAAGCUGGGAAGUCCAAGAUCAAGGCUUUGGAGGAUUGGGUUCCUGGUGAGGGCUCUCUUCCUGGCUUGCCGAGGCCACCCUCUCUGUGUGCCCACAUGACCUUUCCUCCGUGUGUGUAUGCGUGUGGAGAGAGAAGGCUUCCACAUCUCACAAGGCCAUCAGUCCUAUCAGAUUAGAAACCCACGCUUACAACCUCUUUAGCCUUCAUUACCUCCCAAAAACGCUACAUCCAAAUACAGUCACAUCGGGGUUAGGGUGUCAACAUAUUAAUUUUGGGGGGACAUAUUUUUUAGUCCACAGCAAUUACACAAACUGAUACAGCGCUGACUGCUGACCCAUAGAGCAUAUUCCUUACCUUGCACCAAAUACUCUUAAUAUUUUUCAUAAAGACUGUUUCAAUGAAAAAUUGGCAUGAGAAUAAAAAACCCAAACUUGAAUCUAGGGCUAGGGCCCAGUUUUCUCCUGCAGAUGCUUUUUUAUGGGCAUGUAUAUGCUUUUUGAACGAAGUUGCUUGAUGGAUACAAAGCGAUUCCUCCAAAGUUAUAUAUUAAAGUUGUAACUUAGGG
rnacentral:lncRNA from 1 species